rfam:Anoxybacillus flavithermus strain 25 c66, whole genome shotgun sequence.
UCCGUGGUGACGCGGAAUCUGAAGGAAGCGAGCGGCAAACUUUCGGUCUGAGGAACACGAACUUCAUACAAGGCUAGGUAUCAUUGGAUGAGUUUGCUAAACAAAACAAAGUCCUUUCUGCCGAAGGUGAUACAGAGUAAAUGAAGCAGAUAGAUGGAAGGAAAGAUUGCACUC